GCGUGAAUAGGUCAGUGGUUAGACUCCUUCCUUCCCAUAAACCGUCUGGAUCGUGGAUGAGGAAGAUACCCGGGUUCGAAUCCCGGUUCGCGCA